CGUGAUGGAGGACCGAACCGGUAAACGUUGAAAAGUUUUCGGAUGACUCGCGGGUAGGGGUGAAAGGCCAAUCAAACUGGGAAAUAGCUCGUACUCUCCGAAAUGCAUUUCGGUGCAGCCUGUGAUGUUCUGUUCCAGAGGUAGAGCUACUGGUUGGACGCGAGGGCUUCACCGCCUAUCAAAUCCGGAUAAACUCCGAAUGCUGGAACACGAAAUCAUGGAGUGAGCCCGCGGGUGCUAAGGUCCGCGGACGAGAGGGAAAGAACCCGGACCACCGGCUAAGGUCCCGGAUGGACAGUUAAGUUGAUCAAACGAGGUGGGAUCGCGGAGACAGCUAGGAUGUUGGCUUGGAAGCAGCCAUUCAUUUAAAGAGUGCGUAACAGCUCACUAGUCGAGCGAUCCCGCGUGGAUAAUACACGGGCAUCAAACUGUCAACCGAAGCCGUGGGGUCAGUGUUGAACUGACCGGUAGGAGAGCAUUCCUGCCAGCGUUGAAGGUCACCCGCGAGAGUGACUGGAGCGGCAUGAAAAGCAAAUGUAGGCAUAAGUAACGAUAAUGGGGGCGAGAACCCCCCACGCCGCAAGACCAAGGAUUCCCCGGCAAUGUCAAUCAGCCGGGGGUCAGCCGGCCUCUAAGGCUAACCCGAAGGGGGACGCCGACGAGAAACGGGUUAACAUUCCCGUGCUUCUCGUCACCGUGACGCGGUGACGGGGUGAUGAAUGGACCGCGCGCUGACGGAAUAGCGCGUUGAAGACCGUACCCUUUGACGGUGGUAGUCAAGCACGCCACCGGAGGCGAAAGUCGAUAGUACCUCGAGGCCUCGGCCGAGGGGAUAGCGUCCAGGCAAUUUACCCCCGAGAAAACCCGCUAAACUUCAAGUGACGAGGAACCGUACUGUAAACGGACACACGUGGUCGGGUAGAACAUACCAAGGCGCUCGAGUGAUUCAUGGUCAAGGAACUAGGCAAAAUAGUCCUGUAACCUCGGGAAAAAGGACGCUCUAGUGAUAGAGCCGCAGAGUAAUGGCCCAGGCGACUGUUUACCAAAAACACAUGGCUAUGCCAAAUCGAAAGAUGACGUAUAUGGCCUGACACCUGCCCGGUGCCGGAAGGUUAAGAGGAGAGCUCAUCGGAAACGAGAAGGUUUGAAUUGAAGCCCCGGUAAACGGCGGCCGUAACUAUAACGGUCCUAAGGUAGCGAAAUUCCUUGUCGGGUAAGUUCCGACCUGCACGAAUGGUGUAACGAUCUGGGCACUGUCUCGACCAUGAGCUCGGUGAAAUUGUAGUUCCGGUGAAGAUGCCGGGUACCCGCGACGGGACGGAAAGACCCCGUGAACCUUUACUGCAGCUUCGCGUUGUUCCCGGGCACGGGACGUGUAGGAUAGGUCGGAGGCAAUGAAGCGGUUUCGCCAGGAAUCGUGGAGCCAUCGUUGAAAUACGACCCUUCUCUUGUCUGGGAUCUAACCCAUGUGAUGGGGACACCGCGUGGUGGGUAGUUUGACUGGGGUGGUCGCCUCCAAAAGCGUAACGGAGGCUUCCAAAGGUACCCUCGGGUUGGUUGGUAAUCAACCUUGGAGUGCAAUGGCACAAGGGUGCUUGACCGGGAGACUUACAAGUCGAUCGGGUGCGAAAGCAGGGCAUAGUGAUCCGGUGAUCCCGCGUGGAAGGGUCAUCGCUCAAAGGAUAAAAGGUACUCCGGGGAUAACAGGCUGAUCGCCCCCAAGAGCUCAUAUCGACGGGGCGGUUUGGCACCUCGAUGUCGGCUCGUCACAUCCUGGGGCUGGAGAAGGUCCCAAGGGUUCGGCUGUUCGCCGAU
rnacentral:rRNA from 1 species